rnacentral:rRNA from 1 species
UACGUAGGGUGCAAGCGUUGUCCGGAAUUAUUGGGCGUAAAGAGCUCGUAGGCGGUUUGUUGCGUCGGCUGUGAAAUCCCGAGGCUCAACCUCGGGUCUGCAGUCGAUACGAGCAAACUAGAGUGUUGCAGGGAGACUGGAAUUCCUGGUGUCAGCGGUGAAAUGCGCAGAUAUCAGGAGGAACACCGGUGGCGAAGGCGGGUCUCUGGCAGUAACUGACGCUGAGGAGCGAAAGCGUGGGAGCGAACAGG